GUACCACAGUGAAACAAACUAAUAGAACAGCUGUACAAAAACCUCUGAGCGCUUCACUAACUGCACUUUAAACACAUGAUCACAAACACAUCUUUACACAACACACAUACAAACAUACUUUCAUUUAUUUUAUUAUUCAUAUUGUGGCAACUGCAAAUAAAAAUAUGAAUAGUUCAUAAUAUGCAUUUAAAAAUAAAAAUAUAACAUUGUUUUAUGAUUGCAUGUUUUAACUCCUCAUAACUCUUGUGAUGAAGUCUGUGUUGAAUGUUCAUGAGAAAUCAAAACAUUGAAAAAAACUUCCUGAGAAUAUCCACUGACUGGAAUGCAAUGUAUUUAAUAACUUAGAAUAAAGACAUACUGUUAAUAUUCAUAAAUGUAAUAUUCUUUUAAUAAUGUAUUCUCAUUGCUGCUGUUCUCCUGUAACAGUCACAUUUGCUGGUGAGAGGAAACAGUUUUGAAUGUGUGUCCCACCCCUCUGAUUAAAGCACAAUAUCAGACUGUCUGUUAGUCAGGACUGUCAAACCAACAUCACUGUUCCUUCAGUUCUCACUCAUUCACAGUAAAGAUGACAGCACACGCUCUCAUUAUCUGCUCUCUUCUGCUUUUCACUGCUGAGUGUGAUGGACAGAUCACAGUCACUCAGAGUCCCUCAAUAACAGCAGCUCAACCAGGACAAGAAGUUAAAAUAAACUGUAAAACCAGCAGUAGAGUGUAUGGUGGUGAUGAGUUAGCCUGGUACUUACAGAAACCUGGAGAAGCUCCUAAACUCCUCAUUUAUCUGACCGACAGCCUGGAGUCUGAUACUCCAUCUAGAUUCAGUGGCAGUGGAUCUGAUAGUGAUUUCACUCUGACCAUCAGUGGAGUCCAGACUGAAGAUGCAGGACAUUAUUACUGUCAGAGUGUACACGAGAAAACAAUAUAUCCUUGAUGAUGGACAUCAUUAAACUGAACACUGUAAGACUUUAGUUCAGUGUGAUCAACUGAAAGUUUCCAGAGAUGAUAAACAGGACAAACACUGAGCAGAUGUGUGUGACACAAACAGCAUCAUUGAUAUUGAGUUUUGAACAGUUGAUUGAAACAUUCAUAAGGUCAGUAUGACUGCUGAGAUCAGCCUCAGAGUAAACUGAUGAAUAUGAUCAAAGCUCAUCUCUCCAUUAGUCAAACUCAACUGUCUCAUUCACACAAUAAAGAGUCAAACAGUGAAACUCAUAUUUGCAUCAUCAGGGUGGAGUGAUUCUGUUCCUCUCAGAAUAGAGCAGCUCCAUCAGCAGAUGUUCACAUCGUAAUACCAUCAACACUUCAAAUAAACAUGUGAACUCAUUUGUGCAAAAGAUCAGAUUUCAUAGUUUCAUUGAAGAACACGAGAUGCUCUUUGAUACAUUCUCAAAUUGUGCUGGAUAACAUGAUCAUCGGGUUAUGAACAAACGUUUGGAGUCCAAACCAGCUCAUGCUGUCAUUGAAACUAAAUGGAAACAUUUAAACAUACAAUUCAUGCACAUCUUUAAAUUCACCUCAAAUAGUACACAUAAAAUAAUUUCAGAUGUGGAAUGUAAUGAAUUAUAACCACUCUCAAAAAUUUUUCUAAAUAAAUCAUAGUACUUUUGCCUCAGUUGAUUAAAAAUUAUUCAGCUUCACUACAUUUAUUUUUUAGCUUCCACUAAUUGCAUCCGUACUCCGAAAGGAGAUAUUCACAAGAUGGGGGUUCCCACAUUCCUUCUGUCUGAUCAGGGUUCCCAGUUUGUCUCUGUUUUCAGAGAUCUGUGUGAGACUUGGAUGGUAACUCCAAAGGUCACUACAGUUUACCAUCCCCAGACCAAUAUGACGGAACGGGUAAACCAUACCUUAAAAUACAUGAUCUCGUCUUAUGUUGAAGAAAACCACAAGAAAUGGGAUGCACACCUUCCCGAGCUGAAGUUUGCCAUUAACUCGGCAGUGCAGGAAACAACUGGAGUGUCACCAGAUGAACUUCAGCUGGGCCAGAAACUUCAGAGUCCCAUAGAUCAAUUAUUUCAUUAAUUAACUUCCACUAAUGAUGUGGUCCAUCGCCUAAAACAAAUGCAAUCCAGUGUUGCAGAAUGUUCAAAAGGAAACAUGUUUUAGACCACAGCUGUCAGCUGUUAAAAGGCGAAUGCUUCUGUGUAGUAAAAAAAACGUCAGUUGUUCAUUUUGGGUUGAUUUUACACUUUUUAAAUGAAUACACUACAUGUCUGAGUGUAUAGUGCAUAUUGUGAGUGCAUAAUGUAGCUAUCGUAGGUCAUUUGACACACCGCUACUGUGUUUUUAUCCAAAAGAGAGAUUGUUUGAUGCGGUGAGGACAUGCGGCCACUGUACCACAAAUGGAAUUGCUUUGCAUCUCUUUUCAAAUAGUAAAUAUAGGCCUAAUUGACAGACUCGUAUACACACCCCAGGAGAGAGGAAUAAAUUAAAUUGCCAUUUCUGACCACAAGGGGGAGACACAGCAGCUACAAUGCUCGCCAGUGUCAGUUUCUGUCCAUCAGUAACCUCUCUGAAACCUUUAUAGAAAAUAAUCAAACAUAAUCAUGAAAAAUAAAGAAUGAAAUAAUAAUGAAUCUGAAUUUAAAAGAUAAAUAAAAACCUGAAAUAACCCAUUAGAGAACAUUCUGUACGUCUGAAUGAAGGAACUGCUGAAUGUCUCUCCUCGAACACUGAAAUUGUGUAAUUUACUUAAACAUUUAAAUCUUUUGAAGAUUUGUUGGAUGUGCUAAUAUUGAAACCAGAACAGAGAGUAGAAAAUUACUUAAACAUCACACUCUACUUAUAAAACUGGAUUUAAACAUUUAUACAUUUGUAU